rnacentral:rRNA from 1 species
AAACUCAAAGGAAUUGACGGGGACCCGCACAAGCGGUGGAGCAUGUGGUUUAAUUCGAUGCAACGCGAAGAACCUUACCUGGUCUUGACAUACACGGAACUUUCCAGAGAUGGAUUGGUGCCUUCGGGAACCGUGAUACAGGUGCUGCAUGGCUGUCGUCAGCUCGUGUCGUGAGAUGUUGGGUUAAGUCCCGUAACGAGCGCAACCCUUAUCCUUAUUUGCCAGCACAUCAUGGUGGGAACUAUAAGGAGACUGCCGGUGAUAAACCGGAGGAAGGCGGGGACGACGUCAAGUCAUCAUGGCCCUUACGACCAGGGCUACACACGUGCUACAAUGGGAAGGACAAAGGGUUGUUAAGCCGCGAGGUGGUGCUAAUCUCAUAAAUCUUUUCGUAGUCCGGAUCGGAGUCUGCAACUCGACUCCGUGAAGUCGGAAUCGCUAGUAAUCGUGGAUCAGAAUGCCACGGUGAAUACGUUCCCGGGUCUUGUACACACCGCCCGUCAUACCAUGGGAGUGGGUUGCAAAAGAAGUGGGUAGCUUAUCUGGGCGCUCACCACUUUGUGAUUCAUGACUGGGGUAAAGUCGUAACAAGGUA